GACGAACGCUGGCGGCGUGCUUAACACAUGCAAGUCGAACGGAAAGGCUCCAGCUUGCUGGAGUACUCGAGUGGCGAACGGGUGAGUAACACGUGGGUGAUCUGCCCUGCACUUCGGGAUAAGCCUGGGAAACUGGGGCUAAUACCGGAUAGGACCGCACUUUGGUGUGUGUGGUGGAAAGGUUUUUCUGGUGUGGGAUGAGCUCGCGGCCUAUCAGUUUGUUGGUGGGGUAAUGGCCUACCAAGACGGCGACGGGUAGCCGGCCUGAGAGGGUGGACGGUCACAUUGGGACUGAGAUACGGCCCAGACUCCUACGGGAGGCAGCAGUGGGGAAUAUUGCACAAUGGGGGAAACCCUGAUGCAGCGACGCCGCGUGGGGGAUGAAGGCCUUCGGGUUGUAAACUCCUUUCGCUAGGGACGAAGCUUUUUGUGACGGUACCUGGAGAAGAAGCACCGGCUAACUACG
rnacentral:rRNA from 1 species